UACGUAGGGUGCAAGCGUUGUCCGGAAUUAUUGGGCGUAAAGAGCUCGUAGGCGGUUUGUCGCGUCUGCUGUGAAACGCGAGGCUCAACCUCGCGCCUGCAGUGGGUACGGGCAGACUAGAGUGCGGUAGGGGAGAUUGGAAUUCCUGGUGUAGCGGUGGAAUGCGCAGAGUAUCAGGAGGAACACCGGUGGCGAAGGCGGUUCUCUGGGCAUUACCUGACGCUGAGGAGCGAAAGCAUGGGGAGCGAACAGG
rnacentral:rRNA from 1 species